rnacentral:lncRNA from 13 species
UGGGCACUUUGAAUCUGGACCACAUGACACGGAUGAUUUGUUCAUGACCACUGCAGUGACACUGUUGAGAUGACAGCAGUGUCUGGUGUCACAGUGCCCACUGUCAUGGUGAAAAGAAGACUUGGUAUACUUCCUCCUCCCUUGUUCUCCUGAUGAUUUGUUCCAGCUAAUUUUCCAAGUUUGGUCCUCAGGCCUCUGGCCAAUAUUGAAACCUCCACUCUCCUCCUAUUAGAAUUCUCAGAGUCAGUUUCUGUCACCUGCAACCAAGAACCCUGAGUGAUACUUUGUGGGGAGCUUUGGAAUUAAAUGCAGAAGGUUCUAAUCUCAGCUCUCAUACUAACUUUGUGGCCUUGAACAAGAUACUCAAGCAUUCUAAGCCCCAAUUUCUCUCAAUUUGUAAAAUAGUAAUAAUUAUAUAUACCUUACAGGGUUGUUGUUGGAAUCAAAUGAAAUAAUAAGUGUAAGAUUGCCUCAAUAAGACCUGCAUUUUUGUAAGGUCUUGAUAAAGGAGCUACUCCUUACAAAGUGCUUUCAUGUCUAUAUUCCCAUAUGACCUUUACAGGAAGAUACUGCAGAAAUCUCCAUUUUACAGAUAUGGAAUCUGAGGUUCACAGAGGCAAAGUGGCACCUUCAGGUUCACACAAGGAGUGAAUAAAUAUGGGGUGAAAUCCAGAUUUUCUGAUUCAUGGUUCCGUUCUUCUAGAGCCCUAGCUGUGAGCAUGUAGAUGGAUAUGAGAGUGACAUGGUUUGUUCAUGGAAACUUUUAGAGACAGGUAAUUUAGGGGAAAUAAUUUGGAAUAUAUAAUCAGCAAGAUGUCUUUUAAUCUUAUAAUUAUAGUGAAGAGGAGGAGAAUGAAAACUGAUAUACCCCCAGGUUGGAGGGAAAGAAGAGCAAACAGAGCGAUGGAGAAGUGGACAGAGAAGAGGAGACUCAGUGCCUUUUAGGCCCCAAAGAAUAAAGAAGAGUGUGAGCCUGAUGGACAGAAUUUACCAUUUCAAAGAGAGAAUCACUGGCUCCUUUGGAAAAGGGAGACUCCAGGAAAGUCACCAACAGCAUGAUCUUUGCUACCAAAUCCACCCACCAGAGGUAAGGUGUAGCUGCUGUGACUACAGGCCGAUGGACUCCAGAGCUGCCCUGUUGCUGAAGAACUUCCCUCAGCCACACAGGAGCUGCUGGACCUGCCCUGCCCAGGAGACUCCGCCACAUCCUCAUCCAUCUGCCCCUGGUCUUCUGACGACUAACUCACAGGGAAGGAGAAAAAGGCCAGCCCCCUCUCCUCAAAGGGACUGACUCUGUGUGGCCAUUCAUGCUCCAGAGCAUCUUCAUGGGAUUAGACUGAAGCCAGGCUGCAGCUGAGAUCACCUCCUCACUUAGCUUUAUCCUCCAUGCCAUCCUGCAUUCCUCACUCUGCUUCUCCUGAGAGUGUACAUCAGUGAAACACUGAAACAAGAACUUUCAUCUCAGGUUCUGGUUCUUGGGAACCCGAUUUAGAGCUCUAACUCAGAGCAUGGCAGAACUGAGCAGAAGGGAGACCCUCAGGGCAGGAGCAAAGAUGACACUAGGAUAAGACAGAGCUAGGACACAAGCCCUG